rnacentral:rRNA from 1 species
UACGUAGGGUGCGAGCGUUGUCCGGAAUUACUGGGCGUAAAGAGCUCGUAGGUGGUUUGUCGCGUUGUUCGUGAAAACUCACAGCUUAACUGUGGGCGUGCGGGCGAUACGGGCAGACUGGAGUACUGCAGGGGAGACUGGAAUUCCUGGUGUAGCGGUGGAAUGCGCAGAUAUCAGGAGGAACACCGGUGGCGAAGGCGGAUCUCUGGGCCGUAACUGACGCUGAGGAGCGAAAGCAUGGGGAGCGAACAGG